AAAUAGAUACCCGGGUAGUCACGCCGUAAACGUUGGGCGCUAGGUGUGGGGAUCCUUCCACGGGUUUCCGUGCCGCAGCUAACGCAUUUAAGCGCCCCGCCUGGGGAGUACGGCCGCAAGGCUAAAACUCAAAGGAAUUGACGGGGGCCCGCACGAAGCGGCGGAGCAUGCGGAUUAAUUCGAUGCAACGCGAAGAACCUUACCAAGGCUUGACAUGCACGGGUAAGUUCCAGAGAUGGUUCCCCCGCAAGGUCCGUGCACAGGUGGUGCAUGGUUGUCGUCAGCUCGUGUCGUGAGAUGUUGGGUUAAGUCCCGCAACGAGCGCAACCCUUGUCUCAUGUUGCCAGCAAUUCGGUUGGGGACUCAUGAGAGACUGCCGGGGUCAACUCGGAGGAAGGUGGGGAUGACGUCAAAUCAUCAUGCCCCUUAUGUCUUGGGCUUCACGCAUGCUACAAUGGCCGGUACAAAGGGCUGCGAAACCGUGAGGUGGAGCGAAUCCCAAAAAGCCGGUCUCAGUUCGGAUUGGGGUCUGCAACUCGACCCC
rnacentral:rRNA from 1 species